AGAGUUUGAUCCUGGCUCAGGACGAACGCUGGCGGCGUGCUUAACACAUGCAAGUCGAGCGGAAAGGCCCUUCGGGGUACUCGAGCGGCGAACGGGUGAGUAACACGUGAGCAACCUGCCCCUGACUCUGGGAUAAGCCUGGGAAACCGGGUCUAAUACCGGAUACGACCGCCUCCGGCAUCGGGUGGUGGUGGAAAGUUUUUCGGUUGGGGAUGGGCUCGCGGCCUAUCAGCUUGUUGGUGGGGUAGUGGCCUACCAAGGCGACGACGGGUAGCCGGCCUGAGAGGGCGACCGGCCACACUGGGACUGAGACACGGCCCAGACUCCUACGGGAGGCAGCAGUGGGGAAUCUUGCGCAAUGGGCGGAAGCCUGACGCAGCGACGCCGCGUGGGGGAUGACGGCCUUCGGGUUGUAAACCUCUUUCAGCAGGGACGAAGUUGACGUGUACCUGCAGAAGAAGCGCCGGCUAACUACGUGCCAGCAGCCGCGGUAAUACGUAGGGCGCAAGCGUUGUCCGGAAUUAUUGGGCGUAAAGAGCUCGUAGGUGGCUGGUCGCGUCUGCCGUGAAAGCUUAGGGCUUAACCCUAGGUCUGCGGUGGAUACGGGCCGGCUAGAGGUAGGUAGGGGCAAGUGGAAUUCCUGGUGUAGCGGUGAAAUGCGCAGAUAUCAGGAGGAACACCGGUGGCGAAGGCGGCUUGCUGGGCCUUACCUGACGCUGAGGAGCGAAAGCGUGGGGAGCGAACAGGAUUAGAUACCCUGGUAGUCCACGCUGUAAACGUUGGGCGCUAGGUGUGGGGGUCUUCCACGAUCUCCGUGCCGGAGCUAACGCAUUAAGCGCCCCGCCUGGGGAGUACGGCCACAAGGCUAAAACUCAAAUGAAUUGACGG
rnacentral:rRNA from 1 species